rnacentral:rRNA from 1 species
AGCGAACGCUGGCGGCAGGCCUAACACAUGCAAGUCGAACGGAGUCUUCGGACUUAGUGGCGGACGGGUGAGUAACACGUGGGAACGUGCCUUUAGGUUCGGAAUAACUCAGGGAAACUUGUGCUAAUACCGAAUGUGCCCCUCGGGGGAAAGAUUUAUCGCCUUUAGAGCGGCCCGCGUCUGAUUAGCUAGUUGGUGAGGUAAAGGCUCACCAAGGCGACGAUCAGUAGCUGGUCUGAGAGGAUGAUCAGCCACAUUGGGACUGAGACACGGCCCGAACUCCUACGGGAGGCAGCAGUGGGGAAUCUUGCGCAAUGGGCGAAAGCCUGACGCAGCCAUGCCGCGUGAAUGAUGAAGGUCUUAGGAUUGUAAAAUUCUUUCACCGGGGACGAUAAUGACGGUACCCGGAGAAGAAGCCCCGGCUAACUUCGUGCCAGCCGCCGCGGUAACAC